rnacentral:misc_RNA from 1 species
CCUGAGAGUUUGCAAAAACUCCCCCAAACCCACUGUGAACGUACCUGCUAGUUUGCUUCGGCAGGCGGUCCCCGGGGGGGACCUCCAGCCCGCCUCUUACGGGCGGGUGCCUGCCGCGAGGCCACUACAAAACACUGCUGUAACGGUCGUCUGAGAAGCGAAGCCCGCUGAGAAGCAGGGCGGAAUCUAGUCA